CCGCAGGCUUGGGGCCUGACCACGGUGGGUUUAAAGAAGCCGGGCCUCCUGGAGAGUCCUUAGCCAGGAUGGAGGCUGUUGUGAACUUGUACCAAGAGAUGAUGAAGCACGCAGAUCCCCGGAUCCAGGGCUACCCUCUGAUGGGGUCCCCUUUGCUAAUGACCUCCAUCCUCCUGACCUACGUGUACUUCGUUCUCUCACUUGGGCCUCGCAUCAUGGCUAAUCGGAAGCCCUUCCAGCUCCGUGGCUUCAUGAUUGUCUACAACUUCUCACUGGUGGCACUCUCCCUCUACAUUGUCUAUGAGUUCCUGAUGUCGGGCUGGCUGAGCACCUAUACCUGGCGCUGUGACCCUGUGGACUAUUCCAACAGCCCUGAGGCACUUAGGAUGGUUCGGGUGGCCUGGCUCUUCCUCUUCUCCAAGUUCAUUGAGCUGAUGGACACAGUGAUCUUUAUUCUCCGAAAGAAAGAUGGGCAGGUGACCUUCCUACAUGUCUUCCAUCACUCUGUGCUUCCCUGGAGCUGGUGGUGGGGGGUAAAGAUUGCCCCGGGAGGAAUGGGCUCUUUCCAUGCCAUGAUAAACUCUUCUGUGCAUGUCAUAAUGUACCUGUACUACGGAUUGUCUGCCUUUGGCCCUGUGGCACAACCCUACCUUUGGUGGAAAAAGCACAUGACAGCCAUUCAGCUGAUCCAGUUUGUCCUGGUCUCACUGCACAUCUCCCAGUACUACUUUAUGUCCACCUGUAACUACCAGUACCCAGUCAUUAUUCACCUCAUCUGGAUGUAUGGCACCAUCUUCUUCGUGCUGUUCUCCAACUUCUGGUAUCACUCU
rnacentral:sRNA from 1 species